rnacentral:rRNA from 1 species
AAUAGAUACCCAGGUAGUCCACGCCGUAAACGAUGGAUACUAGCUGUUGGGGGCGACCUCAGUGGCUAAGCGAAAGUGAUAAGUAUCCCACCUGGGGAGUACGUUCGCAAGAAUGAAACUCAAAGGAAUUGACGGGGGCCCGCACAAGCGGUGGAGCAUGUGGUUUAAUUCGAUGAUACGCGAGGAACCUUACCAAGGCUUAAAUGUAGAUUGACAGGUUUGGAAACAGACUUUUCUUCGGACAAUUUACAAGGUGCUGCAUGGUUGUCGUCAGCUCGUGUCGUGAGGUGUCAGGUUAAGUCCUAUAACGAGCGCAACCCCUGUUGUUAGUUGCCAGCGAGUCAAGUCGGGAACUCUAGCAAGACUGCCAGUGUAAACUGUGAGGAAGGUGGGGAUGACGUCAAAUCAUCACGGCCCUUACGCCUUGGGCUACACACGUGCUACAAUGGACGGUACAGAGAGCAGCCACUACGUGAGUAGGAGCGAAUCUAUAAAACCCGUUCUCAGUUCGGAUCGGAGUCUGCAACUCGACUCCGUG